rnacentral:rRNA from 1 species
AUUGAACGCUGGCGGCAUGCCUUACACAUGCAAGUCGAACGGCAGCACGGGAGCAAUCCUGGUGGCGAGUGGCGAACGGGUGAGUAAUGUAUCGGAACGUGCCCAGUCGUGGGGGAUAACGUAGCGAAAGCUACGCUAAUACCGCAUACGAUCUGUGGAUGAAAGCGGGGGACCGUAAGGCCUCGCGCGAUUGGAGCGGCCGAUAUCAGAUUAGGUAGUUGGUGGGGUAAAGGCCUACCAAGCCGACGAUCUGUAGCUGGUCUGUGAGGACGACCAGCCACACUGGGGCUGAGACACGGCCCAGGCUCCUACGGGAGGCAGCAGUGGGGAAUUUUGGACAAUGGGCGCAAGCCUGAUCCAGCAAUGCCGCGUGCAGGAUGAAGGCCUUCGGGUUGUAAACUGCUUUUGUACGGAGCGAAAAGGCUCUCUCUAAUACAGGGGGCUCAUGACGGUACCGUAAGAAUAAGCACCGGCUAACUACGUGCCAGCCGCCGCCGUAA